rnacentral:snoRNA from 1 species
AUUCCAUGAUGGGGACAUUCUAGGAUGUAGUCUUGGAAGCGUUCCCAUGCUUCUGGAACGGAUUCAUCAUGUUGUUGCUGAAAACUUGUAAUCUUCCCACGGAGGGC